AAGGGAGACCUAAUUCAGGUAUAAGACGAAAAAAAGUAGUCCCUACCAAGAAUCAAUCCCAAAAGGUCGGAACGAGGUAUGAGGCUUUCAAACUAGGUUCUGGGUUCAUAAAAGACCUGAAUCAGGAACAAGGGCUAUUAGCUCAGGUGGUUAGAGCGCACCCCUGAUAAGGGUGAGGUCCCUGGUUCGAGUCCAGGAUGGCCCACCUGCACAGGUGGCAAACACAAGAGAAGCGAGGAAUCAGCACCUUAUCUUAUAUACAUAUAUAAGAGAGAAUGCUGGCUCUGAGUACAGAGUCCAGAGGAACCUUGAAAACUGCAUAGAGCUAGGUGAAAAAGCCAAAAAAGAAGACCGCAA
rnacentral:tRNA from 1 species